rnacentral:rRNA from 1 species
AGAAUCAACGCUGGCGGCGUGCCUAACACGUGCAAGUCGCACGAGAAAGGGGAGCAAUCCCUGAGUAAAGUGGCGCACGGGUGAGUAACACGUGAAUAAUCUACCUCCGAGUGGGGAAUAACUGAGAGAAAUCUUAGCUAAUACCGCAUAACACUUACGAGUCAAAGCAGCAAUGCGCUUGGAGAGGAGUUCGCGGCCGAUUAGUUAGUUGGCGGGGUAAUGGCCCACCAAGACGAUGAUCGGUAUCCGGCCUGAGAGGGCGCACGGACACACUGGAACUGAAACACGGUCCAGACUCCUACGGGAGGCAGCAGUGGGGAAUUUUGCGCAAUGGGGGAAACCCUGACGCAGCAACGCCGCGUGGAGGAUGAAGCCCCGUUGGGUGUAAACUCCUUUCGAUCGGGAAGAUAAUGACGGUACCGAUAUAAGAAGCCCCGGCUAACUUCGCGCCAGCAGCCGC